UCUAUAUUAUCUAAAUAAAAUCUUUUAUAAAUAAAAUUUUAUUUAUUUUAUCUCGAAUAAAAUGAUCUUAAAGUAAAUGUUAUAUUCUGUGUUAAAAUCAAUCCAAAAAUAUAUAUCAUAAACAGUAUUUUUAAAAUUCGGUCAAAUUGACCCUUCAUGGGAGUUCUAGGGUGUAACAAACUCUGGGAGUCCUAGUGUUAAACUCAUGUUAAAUAAGUGAGUUAAAAGAGGAACUAAAAGAUGAGAACAGCCUUUCAAUAUGAAAUUUGGUAUCCCGUCGGGACCCAUUGACAUAGAUGUUUUUAGAGUCUUUAUGCCCCAAAGUACUAAACUUUCAGAUAUUAUAGGAGCAGAAAUUGUGUCAUGUGAUACAGAUGAACAGGAAACAUUGUUUGUGUGAGUAGGUGGCACAUAAACACUAGAAAAAUAAUCCGCAAGCGUAUUAGAAAGUAUUUUAGGAUCAUUGGAAACACUACCGUUAACUUCAAGAGAUAGAUGAUCAUAAUAUCCAUGUUUCAUUAUUUUUACAAGGCGCCAGAAUUUCAUCAGGUUAUUCUUGAUAUUAUUAUUAAUUGCUCUUAACCAAUUGAUUUUAUCACUUUUGAUUAAGUGCUUGGCCUGUUUACGUAAAAAUUAAAAUUUAGAGAAAUACAAUGAAUUACAGUUUCUUUUAUAAAGUUUGUGAACAUGCUUCUUGGACUUCAGAGCUUGAAUUAGAUCUUUUGAAAACCAGAUUGGGUAGGAGGAAACCUUUCUUGUAAAAGUAGGAAUGAAGGCGUUCAUAUUUGUGCAUAUACAAGAAUUAAGUUCAUCAACAAGAUUAUUAACAUCAGAUGAUUUAAAGAAAUUAGACCAAUCAUGACAUCUAAUACCAUUAUAAAGACCAGCAUAAUCACCAUUUUUGAACAAUUUAAAAUUGACAGAAGAAUUGGUCACAUGAGAGAGACUAUCUAAUGUUAAUUUGAUAUUUAAGGCUGGGUGAUAUAGGUCUUCCUUAACAAGAGCUUCAUCGGCCUUAGUUAUUAAACACUGAGAAACAUUGCUGAAACAAAGGUCUAAAAGAUUUUUGGAUGAUUGAGUUUUAUUGUAUUGUGUUAAACCAAGACUAAAAAUAAAGUUUAUCAGGUAUUGUGCCUUGUUUUUAAUAUGCGUGUGUAAAAUCUGGGUAGCUUGUUUAUUGGUUCAGUCAACUCCAGGUGCUAUAAGUACACAACCACCACGUUAUUUCAAUGUCAGUAAUUCGUUUCUGUCACUUCUAUAAAUGUGAUAUUGGUCAGUAAAAUAGUAAGAGUUAAUACUAAAUUUGUUGAACCAAGUUUCUGUAAGGCAGAUAAUAUCUUUUUGACAACUGAUACAAUUAUCAAAAAAUUCAAUAGAUUUAGUUCUAAGGCCUCUAACGUUUUGAUAAAGAACUUCACGGUCAAUGGAAAUACAAGACAUGGACGACACUUAUGAUGCUCCUCCAGGCACCUGGAAAGAGGUCGAAGCAGUCACAGGUUUGGGACUGGCCCUACCUUAACACCGGAAUUUUCAGACGUAGACUCAUUGCCAGCAAUUUGUUCAGGAUGUCAUUUCCCGUAGAAUGGGCUAAUUAGGCAACCACUCGGCCAAAACACUAUGUUGUUAAUUCGAGUGAAAUCGUCUUCCAGAACCGAAAUGUGAAAGGAGGCAUAUGUGUUAAAUUUUGUUUUUAGUUUAGCUACUUUAACAUGUGAUAGAUUGAGUUCACUGGAGAUAUAGUCCAUUAUUUCAUGCUCCUGAACGGUCGGAUCAAAACGGGUAACAAACAAGGCUUUUGUUUUUUUUAAACGGGUUUACCAACGGUUUUGAGGGUACUAAUGUUUCUUAUGCCAAUUUGCAUAGUCGUUCUUUUGCGAUCCUGUUCGCGGUUGGGUGCAGAGAAAACGUUGAUUGCGGGUUUUCGUUCACGUUGCACCACAGUAAAUCCGUCUUCGUCAGCGUGUUGGAUGGUGUUGUUUACACACGCGACACCGCGUUCUUCCUGCUGCGUCGAAUGUAGGUCAGGAGACGGACUACCGUUACUCGAGACAACAGACAUUGCAAAAUGUUCACUCUUCUUGCCGCUGGAGGGUUUCUUAACAACUUGACUGUAGGAUUUAAAAUUGUAAUUUUUAAUUUUCUUGAUAAAUAGGAGCUCUUUUUUUAUUUCAGCUAUUUCUUGUUUUAUUUCAGCCGUUUCAGUGCGUGAGUCAAUGAGCAGGGUUUUGAGUACUGCAUUUUCACUCCUUAAUUCGUCCACCUUAUCGCAAAGAGACUUCACCCUAUUUACAAGUUUAUCCAUGUUAGAAAUUUUCAACUUCGCUAUUUUAAACGUCUGCUGUUCCUGAUGUUCAUUAGUUGCAGAUGGUGUUUUUUUCGUAGGAGACCUAAACAUUUUUACGGAAUCUACUUGAACUAUUUCACCAAUUGAAACAUUGCAAAAUGGUAAGGGAAACCCCAGAAAAUCAGAUUGAUCACAAAGCGAAGAAUUAAUGAUGGUAAAUCACCGGGGUAAUGACAGACGUCAACAACAAGCACAUUAAGAUAGCGGAGCGCGCACGAAACACUACUGUCGCCUUUGAAAUCCCGGCCCUCAACAUGACGUAGCCACUUUUUCCAGUCAGGAAACAGUGAUCCAUCUAGCCAAGCAGGAUUGAAUUAAGACAUCGUGAAUGUCACACAAUUAUCCACUCAGACUAUCAAGAAUAGGCCUAGGCCUAAUGUAGAGUAGCAAAACACAUUCGAUACUGAAUCGCUUAGUCUCACAAGUUUCACCAUGUUUUCAUUGCACAAUUAAGGAAACUGUGCUAGCACACACCCGUGAACGUAAACUAUAUUUCUAAUGAGAGGACCGCCGUUGAUUUCUUCUGAAAAAAAAACUCUUCUCACAAUUGACUAAAAAAUUUCAAAUAUAUUUAACUGCUUCUGUAGAACUCUUGACUCAGAAUAACACAAUGUGUAACUAUUUUUGCGGUGUUUUUGUUGUGUUUGAUAGGCAAAAAUCUCGUCAUGAAACCAUAAUAUUACCAACUACACAAAUUACAGUGAUACAAAAACACCACCACAGCUGCAACACUUUUAAAAAAAUACAUCUAAAUAAAUGAAAAUAUGUUCACUAAACAAUCUUCAAAAAGUUUCCAGCCUACCGGAUACUUCAAAGUUAUGACACAAACGGCCAAACGUAUACGAACUACGGUGCCGCAGUUUUCUACAACUGGCUUGGCGCAGCUCGCCACGGUCCGGGGCCGCCUAGCAUGAAAUUCUGCACGUCACAGCUGUAUGGUGAACCAAACUUUCCCGGGGCUCGUGGCUUAUCUAUUACUUUGAUUUACAUGUACAACCCGCACCCCAACUUUCCGAUUUUGUUUUUAAAAAAAAAUGUGCUUGUGAUACAUGUAUUAAUCAAUAUAUAUAAAUAUAUAUAUGCACACACACUGUGAUUGCCACACAACAAAUUUCCCUGAGAUUUCCCUGUGUUUUUGACCCAUUUCAAUUUCCCUGAAUUUUCCCUGUUUUCCCGGUCGUUGGGAACCCUGACUUGUUUGCCCAAUUAGGCCCAUCUCGAUGUAUAACAAAGUGUUCAGUAAUCUGUUGAUUAUGUAACAACAUAUUAAUUUGAGUUUUUUUUUUAAAUUAGGAAAUUGUAAUAGAAGCUUCAUGCUGGGACCAUUUACGCAAGGAAGAUAACUACAAAACUGUGGAACUGCAAGAAACAGAUGACUGGUCAUGAUACAAGCCAUCCAUGCUGAGAAAAGCUAAAAAUAUCAAACUGAGGGAGAAAAUUGCUGCAUCUAAUGAUGAAGCUGAAUGUUUAACUCCAAAUGCGUCAAGAAGUAUGCAGAGGAAACGACCUGCAUUCCAUGACCGCCCAGUAUCAAUGAACGGGGAACGGCUCAGCGGUUGGGCAACGGAAUAAAGAAACCUUGCACGAUGUCAGCAAGAGCUACUCCCAAAAGAGUUUGAGGCCAGAGAAAAGAGGGAGGAGGAGCUUCACAACAUUGAAGUGGAGAUAAAGAAGAAAAUAAAGAAACUUGAGCUUGACAUAAAGAUAAUGAAACAAACUUUACGGGAAAUAGAAGAUAAGCACAAAUGUUAAUUUUAUUUUCUACUGUCCAUACAGUACUCUCUUAUGACAGUCUUCAGUUUAUGUAAAUAUAUUGUAUGUAUUUUGCCCAUUAAUUAAAAUAUAAGGUUAUAAGUGUAUUUUCUUUCUUUUUAUCAUUGGAUGAAAUAGAUCAGUGGUAGUCACUGCAGAAAAUGAAAUGGAUAUACAUAGUAGAAGUGUGGUGACCUAAACACAAUAUGUAAAUUCUCCAAUGCAUUUACACUUGCUACUCUUGGAGGCCAUUUGGAUUUCCAUUAUUAGGACUGUUAAAAAGUAGCUAUUGUAUACACAGUUAAGUGUAGUGGUGUACAUGUUUUCUGAUCAAA